UUCUUCAGUGUCUUACAUUACUUCCAUUGGCUGCCUCACAUCACCAAAACAACUACCUUUCUUUUCAAGUCCCAGAGUCCACACCUUCUUCCCCCAAAAAACUCAAUAUUGCUGAGGGCUUGAUAUUCGCGAUCGUUGUUUGGUUUCCGAG